CCGCCACGUCGGGGGGCGCCAUCCGCCGCUAGGCGCGGCGCCGGGCGGGGCGUUCCAAUCGCCCCAUGGAAGAC
rnacentral:tRNA from 1 species